rnacentral:rRNA from 1 species
UACAGAGGGUGCGAGCGUUAAUCGGAAUUACUGGGCGUAAAGCGCGCGUAGACGGUUUGUAAGUCAGAUGUGAAAUCCCUGGGCUCAACCUGGGAACUGCAUUUGAGACUGCAUGGCUAGAGUAUCGAAGAGGGAAGUGGAAUUUCCGGUGUAGCGGUGAAAUGCGUAGAUAUCGGAAGGAACACCAGUGGCGAAGGCGGCUCUCUGGGACGGUACUGACGCUGAGACGCGAAAGCGUGGGGAGCGAACAGG